UUGGAGGGCAAGUCUGGUGCCAGCAGCCGCGGUAAUUCCAGCUCCAAUAGCGUAUAUUAAAGUUGUCGCAGUUAAAAAGCUCGUAGUUGAAUUUCGGGAUUCGUCGGUUGGUCGGGCUUCACUGUCCGCACUGACCUGACGGAUUCCUACCUUCUGAAUAACCAGCAUGCUAUUAAGUUAGUGCGUUGGGGAAGCAGAGCUAUUACCUUGAAAAAAUUAGAGUGCUUAAAGCAGGCUUGUGCUUGAAUAGAUUAGCAUGGAAUAAUAAAAUAGGACGGCAUGGUUCUAUUUUGUUGGUUUCUAGGAUCACCGUAAUGAUUAAUAGGGAUAGUUGGGGGCAUUAGUAUUCAAUUGUCAGAGGUGAAAUUCUUGGAUUUAUUGAAGACUAACUUCUGCGAAAGCAUUUGCCAAGGAUGUUUUCAUUAAUCAAGAACGAAAGUUAGGGGAUCGAAGACGAUCAGAUACCGUCGUAGUCUUAACCAUAAACUAUGCCGACUAGGGAUCGGACGAUGUUAAUUUUUUAAUGACUCGUUCGGCGCCUUACGGGAAAC
rnacentral:rRNA from 1 species